GACGAACGCUGGCGGCGUGCUUAACACAUGCAAGUCGAACGCUGAACCCGCUUCGGUGGGGGAUGAGUGGCGAACGGGUGAGUAGCACGUGGGCAACCUGCCCCCGGCUCUGGGAUAACUCCAAGAAAUUGGGGCUAAUACCGGAUGUGACCGCUGGCCGCAUGGUCUGGUGGUGGAAAGGGUUUCCGGCUGGGGAUGGGCCCGCGGCCUAUCAGCUUGUUGGUGGGGUAGUGGCCUACCAAGGCGACGACGGGUAGCCGGCCUGAGAGGGUGACCGGCCACACUGGGACUGAGACACGGCCCAGACUCCUACGGGAGGCAGCAGUGGGGAAUAUUGCGCAAUGGGCGGAAGCCUGACGCAGCAACGCCGCGUGGGGGAUGACGGCCUUCGGGUUGUAAACCUCUUUCAGCAGGGACGAAGCGCAAGUGACGGUACCUGCAGAAGAAGCACCGGCCAACUACGUG
rnacentral:rRNA from 1 species